UACGUAUGGGGCGAGCGUUGUCCGGAUUUAUUGGGCGUAAAGAGCGUGUAGGCGGUUCGGUAAGUCUGUCGUGAAAUCCUGAGGCUCAACCUCGGGCGUGCGAUGGAUACUGCCGGGCUAGAGGGUGGUAGAGGCGAGUGGAAUUCCCGGUGUAGCGGUGAAAUGCGCAGAUAUCGGGAGGAACACCAGUAGCGAAGGCGGCUCGCUGGGCCACACCUGACGCUGAGACGCGAAAGCUAGGGGAGCGAACAGG
rnacentral:rRNA from 1 species